CAGUCGCCGCGGGAAUACGUAGGUGGCAAGCGUUGUCCGGAAUUAUUGGGCGUAAAGGGCUCGCAGGCGGUUUCUUAAGUCUGAUGUGAAAGCCCCCGGCUCAACCGGGGAGGGUCAUUGGAAACUGGGAAACUUGAGUGCAGAAGAGGAGAGUGGAACUCCACGUGUAGCGGUGAAAUGCGUAGAGAUGUGGAGGAACACCAGUGGCGAAGGCGACUCUCUGGUCUGUAACUGACGCUGAGGAGCGAAAGCGUGGGGAGCGAACAGGAUUAGAUACCCCGGUAGUCCCUGUCUCUUAUAC
rnacentral:rRNA from 1 species